GACGAACGCUGGCGGCGUGCUUAACACAUGCAAGUCGAACGGAAAGGCCCUGCUUUUGUGGGGUGCUCGAGUGGCGAACGGGUGAGUAACACGUGAGUAACCUGCCCUUGACUUUGGGAUAACUUCAGGAAACUGGGGCUAAUACCGGAUAGGAGCUCCUGCUGCAUGGUGGGGGUUGGAAAGUUUCGGCGGUUGGGGAUGGACUCGCGGCUUAUCAGCUUGUUGGUGGGGUAGUGGCUUACCAAGGCUUUGACGGGUAGCCGGCCUGAGAGGGUGACCGGCCACAUUGGGACUGAGAUACGGCCCAGACUCCUACGGGAGGCAGCAGUGGGGAAUAUUGCACAAUGGGCGGAAGCCUGAUGCAGCAACGCCGCGUGCGGGAUGACGGCCUUCGGGUUGUAAACCGCUUUCGCCUGUGACGAAGCGUGAGUGACGGUAAUGGGUAAAGAAGCACCGGCUAACUACGUGCCGGCAGCCGCGGUGAUACGUAGGGUGCGAGCGUUGUCCGGAUUUAUUGGGCGUAAAGGGCUCGUAGGUGGUUGAUCGCGUCGGAAGUGUAAUCUUGGGGCUUAACCCUGAGCGUGCUUUCGAUACGGGUUGACUUGAGGAAGGUAGGGGAGAAUGGAAUUCCUGGUGGAGCGGUGGAAUGCGCAGAUAUCAGGAGGAACACCAGUGGCGAAGGCGGUUCUCUGGGCCUUUCCUGACGCUGAGGAGCGAAAGCGUGGGGAGCGAACAGGCUUAGAUACCCUGGUAGUCCACGCUGUAAACGGUGGGUACUAGGUGUGGGGUCCAUUCCACGGGUUCCGUGCCGUAGCUAACGCUUUAAGUACCCCGCCUGGGGAGUACGGCCGCAAGGCUAAAACUCAAAGGAAUUGACGGGGCCCCGCACAAGCGGCGGAGCAUGCGGAUUAAUUCGAUGCAACGCGUAGAACCUUACCUGGGUUUGACAUGGAUCGGGAGUGCUCAGAGAUGGGUGUGCCUCUUUUGGGGUCGGUUCACAGGUGGUGCAUGCCUGUCGUCAGCUCGUGUCGUGAGAUGUUGGGUUAAGUCCCGCAACGAGCGCAACCCUUGUUCACUGUUGCCAGCACGUUAUGGUGGGGACUCAGUGGAGACCGCCGGGGUCAACUCGGAGGAAGGUGGGGAUGACGUCAAGUCCUCAUGCCCCUUAUGUCCAGGGCUUCACGCAUGCUACAAUGGCUGGUACAGAGAGUGGCGAGCCUGUGAGGGUGAGCGAAUCUCGGAAAGCCGGUCUCAGUUCGGAUUGGGGUCUGCAACUCGACCUCAUGAAGUCGGAGUCGCUAGUAAUCGCAGAUCAGCAACGCUGCGGUGAAUACGUCCCCGGGGCU
rnacentral:rRNA from 1 species